rnacentral:rRNA from 1 species
GACGAACGCUGGCGGCGUGCUUAACACAUGCAAGUCGAACGGAAAGGCCCUGCUUUUGUGGGGUGCUCGAGUGGCGAACGGGUGAGUAACACGUGAGUAACCUGCCCUUGCCUUUGGGAUAACUUCAGGAAACUGGGGCUAAUACCGGAUAGGAGCUCCUGCUGCAUGGUGGGGGUUGGAAAGUUUCGGCGGUUGGGGAUGGACUCGCGGCUUAUCAGCUUGUUGGUGGGGUAGUGGCUUACCAAGGCUUUGACGGGUAGCCGGACUGAGAGGGUGACCGGCCACAUUGGGACUGAGAUACGGCCCAGACUCCUACGGGAGGCAGCAGUGGGGAAUAUUGCACAAUGGGCGGAAGCCUGAUGCAGCAACGCCGCGUGCGGGAUGACGGCCUUCGGGUUGUAAACCGCUUUCGCCUGUGACGAAGCGUGAGUGACGGUAAUGGGUAAAGAAGCACCGGCUAACUACGUG